rnacentral:rRNA from 1 species
GGGUAACCUGCCUGUAAGACCGGGAUAACUCCGGGAAACCGGGGCUAAUACCGGAUGGUUGUUUGAACCGCAUGGUUCAAACAUAAAAGGUGGCUUCGGCUACCACUUACAGAUGGACCCGCGGCGCAUUAGCUAGUUGGUGAGGUAACGGCUCACCAAGGCAACGAUGCGUAGCCGACCUGAGAGGGUGAUCGGCCACACUGGGACUGAGACACGGCCCAGACUCCUACGGGAGGCAGCAGUAGGGAAUCUUCCGCAAUGGACGAAAGUCUGACGGAGCAACGCCGCGUGAGUGAUGAAGGUUUUCGGAUCGUAAAGCUCUGUUGUUAGGGAAGAACAAGUACCGUUCGAAUAGGGCGGUACCUUGACGGUACCUAACCAGAAAGCCACGGCUAACUACGUGCCAGCAGCCGCGGUAAUACGUAGGUGGCAAGCGUUGUCCGGAAUUAUUGGGCGUAAAGGGCUCGCAGGCGGUUUCUUAAGUCUGAUGUGAAAGCCCCCGGCUCAACCGGGGAGGGU